UUACACUUAACCAAUUUUCGGUUAAUUUUUAACCAAUUCCAACAACAAAUAGCCUCUCGAAUUUCUUUCAAAUGAUCAAGCAAAAACCUAUGUCUGAGCAUGAAAGUAUCACCAUAAUGCUAUUCAAACCCACGCCUAUUAGUUACUCUAUAUAUAAUAUAUGUAUUAGGUCGUUUUAGUAUUUAAAUUUCUUUUCUGGUUAACUGUCUUCUUCGUUAUAGUAAUACCAUGCAGCAUAAAUAGAAAGUGAAUCGCUAUAAAUCAUGUGUUCUUUAUAUGCUUUUAAUAUUCUUGUUUUUGCUAUUCUUUGAUAGUAUAAAAUUAGACGUCAACGGCCCUAUUUAAACUGUUAGAAGACACAGUGGACUACCAGGCGCGGAGCCAGCACCCGGCGAGGGGGCGCGGCCGUGCGUGCUGGCUUCGCCGGAAUCUUGAGAAUCGCCUGGUAGCAAUUGCCAAUCAGGCCUUUGCUGAAGUUGCAGAGCCGGCCGGAGUCAGGAGAAGAACUGAAGAAGACGAAGAUGAAAGUGAAGAGCCCUUUUUUUUUUGGUUUGGGCUUCAGUUAAGUGAUUUAGAGUAAUUGUUGGGCAGUUGGGCUUCUUUUUGUUUAGCCCAAUUCUCAAAUGAAAAAAACAAAUGGUCCAAUUUAUCAAUCAUUUUCAAUCGUGCAGCCAAGAAUCCAAAAUUCUCUUCUUCUGUCCAAUUCCCAAAUUGUGGAAGCCUAAAUGCCAAUUGUCAAACCCUUUUCCUCCCUUUCUCCUUUCAACCAGACUCCAUCAAAGAAUAGGUAGCAUCGACGACGCCACGAGCAGGAGGGAUUCACCGUAGCCAAGUGCCAACAACCGCUGCAGUGCCGAGCCGAUUGCCGUGAGUGAGUCCGUGAGACCGUGACUGCUGGCUGCCGCUGCCGUUUUUAGGUGGACCACUCAGGUGAAAACUGUGGACAAGCCCCACAGUUUGCCAAUCAUAGUAAGUAAAGCAAUAUGUUGAGAAAAUGGUAUGAAUUUUUGGGUACGACUUUGUAGGCUCGUUAUCAGCUUCUGACUGUCCUUUAACUUUCAUGAUUCGACGAUUUCUAGGAGUCAAUAAUUUAGGUCGAGUUAGUUGCACAAAUGUUCUGCUCCUCAAGAAACUCAAGUAUUUUGUGUUUGAGAAUUGUGAUUUAUGAAUUAUGAUAAGUAAUUUAUGUUA